rnacentral:rRNA from 1 species
CACGUAGGCGGACACUUAAGUCAGGGGUGAAAUCCCGGGGCUUAACCUCGGAAUAGCCGUUAUAACUAUGUAGCUAGAGUUAUGGAGAGGAUAGCGGAAUACCCAGUGUAGAGGUGAAAUUCGUAGAUAUUGGGUAGAACACCGGUGGCGAAGGCGGCUAUCUGGCCAUAUACUGACGCUGAGGCACGAAAGCAUGGGGAUCAAACA